GAGCACUUUUAAGGAAGAGGCGCCGCCCCUUGAGGGUGGAGUGUAAAAUCAGCAUCCAUGCCCCUUUGCUCAUGCCCAAGGCCUUGCUGAGCUUCACUUACGGGCCGGCUGAUGCGGUGGAGGUGAAGGAGCUUUCCCGCCCUUUCAGACCCUGGGCCUCCUCCUAGACUCCCGAGCUCCUGAGAAGCGUCUGUGGGCUCCACAGAUCUGUGCAGGCCUCCUCUUGCCUCUGGAGUCUCAUUUCCCUAUGCCUGCCUGCAUCCUUUCUUCAUAGGUGCCUUCCUGCUGGCCUUUCUGAGCUGUGUUUUCAAGGUGCCCAGCUAUUCUCUGCACCACAGAAAGGACAAUCAUUGCAAAAUGCGAAUCUGACUUCAUCCCCUCAUAUCUACCCCCAUCUCAGCUCCAGCCUUGCCACCUUCAGGAAGACUGGGACUCCGCCUGCACCUACUCACACCCAGCCCUGAGCACAGGCCCCUCACACAAUGGGUGCUCCAGAAGAGCGUGGGAACGAAGGAGUUAACGUCAUCCUGUAGGCUCAAUUUUGCACCCAGCCCUUUUCAGGUAAGUUCGCAGAGUAAAUGCCUCCUCGUGCGGUGACGAAGUUCUAAAACCUCCCACCCAGAGCUGCUUCUGCCGGCGUGGGAGGCCCGUCGCGCAGCCGUGCCUUCGAAUGGACAGUCCAGGUGUCUCCCUGUGGCGCUCCAGAACCACUAGCAUUUACGCACAAACAAAUGCCCUUCAAGAGCCUCUACUUCCUGCCGCCAGGGCCACAGAACGGGUGGUUUUAGAGGUUCCCCGUUCCAAGGCACGCCCGCUGUGGGGGUCCUGGGCAGCAGAGGA
rnacentral:lncRNA from 1 species